GGCUCAGAAUCAACGCCGGCGGCGUGCCUAACACAUGCAAGUCCAACGCGAAAGCCCCUUCGGGGGUAAGUAGAGUGGCGUCCGGGUGAGUAACACGUGGGUAAUCUGCCUCCGGGUGGGGAAUAACCCAGGGAAACUUGGGCUAAUACCGCAUAAUGCAGCGGCACCUAAUGGUGAUUAGUUGUUAAAGAGGGGGACCCUUCGGGGCCUCGCGCCUGGAGAGGAGCCUGCGGCAGAUUAGCUAGUUGGUGAGGUAAUGGCUCACCAAGGCUUCGAUCUGUAGCUGGUCUGAGAGGACGGCCACCCACACUGGCACUGACACACGGGCCAUACUCCUACGGGAGGCAGCAGUGGGGAAUUUUGGGCAAUGGGCGAAACCCUGAACCAUCAACGCCGCUAUGAAAGGAAGAAAUCCUACUGGAUGUGAAACUCAAAAAAUAGGGAAGAAUUUGAACAUCUGAAUAACUUU
rnacentral:rRNA from 1 species